rnacentral:rRNA from 1 species
UAAGACAGAGGUGCCGAGCGUUAGGCGGAAUCACUGGGCUUAAAGCGUGUGUAGGCGGAUUUCUAAGUACCUUGUGAAAUCCCACGGCUCAACCGUGGAACUGCUGGGUAUACUGGUUAUCUUGAGCCACUUAGGGGCAACCGGAACAAAUGGUGGAGCGGUGAAAUGCGUAGAUAUCAUUUGGAACGCCAAUGGUGAAAACAGGUUGCUGGGAGUGUGCUGACGCUGAGACACGAAAGCCAGGGUAGCGAACGGGAUUAGAUACCCCGGUAGUCCUGGCCGUAAACGAUGUCGACUAGAUCGCAGUGCCUCUGACGGUAUUGCGGUCGAAGCAAAAGUGCUAAGUCGACCGCCUGGGAAGUACGGUCGCAAGGCUA